rnacentral:ncRNA from 1 species
GACAGACUCAAAAAUCCCUGAUGCACAGGCAGGUUAUGAAAAGGGAAUAAGCGCCGUGCUAGCUGGAUUAGCAGGUGGCAACCGGAU